CACAUAAGGCGGACAUGGUUGCAUUCUACGGAGUUAUUGAAGAAAUCAUACUCCUCAACUACCAUAUGUUUCAGAUUUUACUCUUCAAGUGUAAGUGGGCGAACAAAGGUCACAGUGUGAAAGAAGAGCAAGGAUUUACACUAGUGAACCUCCAAGUGAACCAGUCUCCGUAUAUCCAAGAUCCGUAUACUAUGGCAUCACAAGCAAAACAAAUCUUUUACGCUAAAGAAGAUGAUUCCUCACCUUGGUCUGUCGUUAUGAGGGUGCCACCUAGAGGGUAUCAUGAGCUUGAGUUAGAGAAGGAGUUUGUUGCCGCAACUUUGACAAUUCCAGAAAUUGAAGAUUAUGUGAACCAGUCCUCUGAUGACGAAAGUUUUGUGUUAGAGAUGAUUGUGAAGCAGUCUUAGUAGUGGAAUAGUUGGUUGAAGUAAUUUUUGCUGGUAGUUCAUAGAUUAUUGGUUGUGUUUCAGGUUUGCUAAAAUGGCAAAGCGAGGAGAUACAGUCACUACCCGACGCAGUCGACGUCAAUCAGGCAUUCCCCCGACCCCUGCAGAGAUGAUCAGAAAAAAGCAAACUGGUACUCAGGCAAAAAAACAACGUCGCCAAGAGGCUGCACAGGAAGAAGAAGAACACAGAGAAACUGAAGAGAAUGGAUAAGCUGAUAUGGAAGAUGGAGAUGAGUAUUUAGAGGAUGUAACAUUGCAGUGCGAUGGAGAAGCUCAUGAAGAGAAUACGCAGCCUCAGGAAGAGCGUACGCAACCUCAAGAAGAGCGUACGCAGCCUCAGGAAGAGAGUAUGCAUCCAUCAACUGGAGAAGCUCAAAAUGAAGAAACAGUCACCAAAAAAGCGAACUCGAGGUCUAACUAAGAUGCGUAGAGUUACUAAACAACCAGAGGAAAAGGUUGAUGUUGAGUUCACAUCUCUGGAUGGACAUGUUGGCAAAGGAUCUGUAACUCUGUCAUCCUUUCUUGGACCUCUAGUGAGAGAGCAUGUUCAUGUACUACUUGAUGAUUGGAGGCACCUCGAUGAAAAAACUAGCUACGUUCUGUGGGAGGAGAUUCAGGGAAGGCUCAAUUUAAUAGAAGAUUGGCAAAAAGCUUGUGUUUUCAAGCAAAUGGGUUGUAUAUGGCGAGCUUCAAAGUCUAGGCUUGUUUCCCAAAUCCGAAGUGCGAGUAGGACAAUAAUACCUACAUUAAAACCGAGCAACAUCCAGUCAAUGGCAGAAUGGAAUAAAUGGGUCAAGAGUAAAACUACAGACGAAUUCAAGAUACACAGUGACAAAUAUAGGGAGCCAAGGAAGGAGCAAAUACCCCCACACCACCAGCCGCAAAGGAAUGAUUCGCCUAGCUCAUGAGAUGAAACAAAAGAGCUAUGACCCUAGCAAGGUGACUAGGAGUAAGAUUUGGGUGGCAGGACACACUCAUUCUAAUGGAAGACUUGUCAAACCAGAAUUUGCAGAGACAAUUGAACAAAUAAAGUCAAUUGAUACUGAAAUGAGAUCCACAUGUAGUAAUAACUUCAGAGAUGAUGUUGUGAGUCAAGUGUUAGGUAAAGACAAGAAUCGAAGAGUCAGAGGGAUGGGCGGAGGAGUUAUUGCUUCAAAGCUAGCAUUCGUUCAGGCUAGAAACACGCAUGUACAGAAGCUUGAAGAGACACAUUUGCAAUUUCUCAAGAAGAUCGAAGAGCUGCAGACGCAUGUGCAUAAGUUUUUUUUUUUGUCAAAACAUUCUGAUGGUUCUGUAGCUGAGAUUACCAGUGCUAGCAAGGUAGUUAUGAGGUGUCAGCUUCUGGAUUGGUGUGAAGUAGGUGAUGAUGCUUAUGUCUAGAGGCCAACCACAAGUAUAUUUUCACUUGGUCAAGCAUUGGAUAGCAAAAUAUCCUGGCCAGCUGAAAAGAUCAUUCUGGAUAACGACCACAACUCCACCAGAAAUUCAAACUACUGCUUCAUCGGCAUCAUCGGAUAAAAUACGCAUCUGUGACUGGACUUGCGAUGAUGUGAUUGCUGAGGGUGGUUUGUUUUCAACUGAUCUAAAGCAACUGGUCAGCAAUAUUCUCUUUGGACCCAAUGCUGCAAUUGUGAAGAUUGAAAAAGUGAUUAAGAAGGAGGCUUUGUGGAGACCUAGUCCUGAGAUGUCAACAAUUGAUGAUGCACUUCGUCUCAGUAUCGCUUGGCCAAUUCAGAAGAUAGAUAUUAUUAAUCAAUCACCAUUUAGAGUUUCACCAUUAUUCUCUUCACCUCGGAGUGUUAGUAACAUCUUGGACACAGCUAAAUCAAGUCCAGAGAAGAAGUACCUCUUGUUGGAUUGCUUAAACUCAGGAAAGACUGUGGCUGAAGACCGUCUUGUUUCCACAAAUCCAGAGGAUAGAGUACACUUUGUCCCGUUAGGAGAAAAUGCUUGCAAGGUCUUCGUUUGAGUGGCAAAGAUUGGAGAUGCAAGAGUUUGGAGACCAAAUGCAGAAGUUGAAUGUAUAUCUGAUGCUCUAGGUACCACUGUGGCUUGGCCUGAUGACAAAGUA